rnacentral:rRNA from 1 species
CCGCCUGGGGAGUACGGCCGCAAGGCUGAAACUCAAAGGAAUUGAUGGGGGCCCGCACAAGCGGUGGAGCAUGUGGUUUAAUUCGAAGCAACGCGAAGAACCUUACCAGGUCUUGACAUCCUCUGACAACCCUAGAGAUAGGGCUUCUCCUUCGGGAGCAGAGUGACAGGUGGUGCACGGUUGUCGUCAGCUCGUGUCGUGAGAUGUUGGGUUAAGUCCCGCAACGAGCGCAACCCUUGAUCUUAGUUGCCAUCAUUAAGUUGGGCACUCUAAGGUGACUGCCGGUGACAAACCGGAGGAAGGUGGGGAUGACGUCAAAUCAUCAUGCCCCUUAUGACCUGGGCUACACACGUGCUACAAUGGGCAGAACAAAGGGCAGCGAAGCCGCGAGGCUAAGCCAAUCCCACAAAUCUGUUCUCAGUUCGGAUCGCAGUCUGCA